UACGAAGGGGGCUAGCGUUGUUCGGAAUCACUGGGCGUAAAGGGUGCGUAGGCGGGUCUUUAAGUCAGGGGUGAAAUCCUGGAGCUCAACUCCAGAACUGCCUUUGAUACUGAAGAUCUUGAGUUCGGGAGAGGUGAGUGGAACUGCGAGUGUAGAGGUGAAAUUCGUAGAUAUUCGCAAGAACACCAGUGGCGAAGGCGGCUCACUGGCCCGAUACUGACGCUGAGGCACGAAAGCGUGGGAGCAAACAGG
rnacentral:rRNA from 1 species